rnacentral:tRNA from 1 species
GGUGGCAUGGUAAAAGGUGGAAAGAAUGCUUGAUUUGGAAUCAGGGAACCUGGGUACAAAUCCCAGGUCUGCCA